CCUCCAGCCUGCAGGCAUCAUGAAGAAAACCAUCAAUACGAGCCUUCUCCUGAAUGAGCCACCAAGGAUGGACAGGAAGGAGAUCAGCAGAAGAAUAUUAGACCUCACCUUGGAGAUCAUCUCCCUGCUGAGCGGAGAGGAGUACACAAUAGUGAAGAAGACAUCGGGGGACUGUGUGACUCCCAUCAUCC